AAGUCGUAACAAGGUUUCCGUAGGUGAACCUGCGGAAGGAUCAUUAUCACGUAUCCACGUAUAAACCAUCGUGCACUGUCUCACCCUUUGAAGUAAUUAUAAGUUCGUGUAAUAUCAAUAACAUAGUGAACUCGUUUAUUGUGAUUUGGAGAGUUCCGUUUAUUGUAAUUGCCUCGGGUCAUUCCGUACUUAUUACUUCUUAGGUGUAUUUCUAAAUCACACUUUGUAUUAACAAUUUGAACAACUUUAUUAAAUUAUUGAACUGAUCUGUUUCUUACUCUGUAAAAGGAGAAGAAAUAAAUUACGAAACAAAGAACAACUCUUAGCAACGGAUAUCUUGGUUCUC
rnacentral:misc_RNA from 1 species